rnacentral:lncRNA from 1 species
UGUGAGUAGUUGAUCUUAGCUUGAAAAGGUGUUUUGAAUACAAUGGUGAAGUUAGAUUUACCAUAAAAUGCUUUCUUGACCUCUUACAAGAGCCAUCAGCCUUGUAACGAGAUUAGCUCUUGGAUGAAUGAAGGCUAUAAAUCUAGAUUAUAGAUCUUAAAAAUCAAGGGAGGAGAUGUAGCCACCCUUCUACGAACCUUCCCUCAAUUGUGUAAGAGAGGCUUGGUUUUCCAAGCCCUCUCUCUCUCCUCUUUUGGAUGAAGGGUGAAGCUAUGCCAAAAUUUGGCCAAAACCCUAAUCUUAAUUUUGUUUAGACUUAAAAUCUCAUUGUGAACCUUGUGAUUGUGUGUGUAUGGAUUUUGAAUUGUGAAGGAUGGUCAUUAAGUUUUAAAAGAUGCUUCAUUGAAGUAGAUAGCUCCCUUUGCCUCCCCAAAUAUUCCAAAGGUUUUAAGGGCCUUAGAUUUUUCUCAAACAGUCACUCAGUUUCUUUUGUUUUGAUGUGAAAUUCUAAAUGAUUGUAGCUUUUGUUUUUAGCUUUCCGACAAGAUAAGUCUCGCUUGAUUUGGAAUAAGAAGGAAGUUUUGGUGAAUUUUUGAGUGUGAGGG